AGAUUUCAGAAAUAAAAUCAGUCAUUGGACAGCUGAGAUAUUAAAUGAUUGGUCAUCGUUAACAUUUUAACGAAAUUAGAACGGUCAGGCUUGUAAGGGUCAGAGCGGUAGAAAAACAGAGUGGCGACACUCCCAUAGACUUCUAUAGGAAACAAUGGCGGCGCUUUUUCCCGGCUACUUCCACGUUAUGCUGAGCUCAAAAGUUCCUAACUUUGACAUUCACGGCUUUAGCCCCAUUCACUUCCAUUGCUUUCUGCCUGAUAUUGUCAGUGGACCAAGGAUGCAGAGGACAAGAAGGGUGUGCUAUAUAUGACUGGAAUCGACAGAUAAGAUCAUUUUUUUUAUGUUUGAAGUCCAUACAAUGGGGCCCUUACACAAAAGGGAGUGGUGUUGAUCCAGCAUCUUCCACACCUCCCAUAACACUCCUGACUCCAGCCAAAUGUGUUGCAUCCUCCUUACCAGAUAGAUAGAUAGAUACUUUAUUGAUCCCCAAGGGGAAAUUCAAGAAUGUCACCAUGUCUCUCUUAUAGGUGUACAGAGUAUAUGGAGAGCUGUCCAUCCCUUCAUAGUGUCUUUUGUGUAGUUCACACACAAUUGUUGUUCAAACUUUGGAAACUGAAAUCUUUUAAUUUUUUGGAAAACUUAAUGAGUGCCAGACCACCUUUUUAUGUUGCAGUGUCACCAUACCUUUCUCCCAGUCUUUUUUGUAUCAGUCAUCCUGUAUGUAUCAGUCAUCCUUUUCAUGCUGUAGUCUCACCAGCCGGCUGAAAUGUAAGUUAUAAGUAUUUUAUUGAAA